rnacentral:lncRNA from 1 species
CUAGGGCCAAUUCCUUUAAUCAACAGGAGCACAUCUGUACAAAGAGUGGGUAGGCAGUAAGUUUCCACCCCCUUAAAAUACCUCCAGUUGUACACAGCACACACGGGAAUGGGUUCCCCCAAUACCGCAGAUUUCCUCUCACAGAAAGCUUCCACGUGAAGCACGUGAAAAAAUGGAGAGUGUCUUUCUUCCCCGGAGUCCCCAGUCUGUGUGGGAACGUGGCCGAUGCCGUCCUCCUCCUGGCAUGCAGGAUGUCACUUGGCCCACAGUUGCAUGCCUGCCUCUGGCACUUGUUUCUGACCCCGCUUCUUUUCUGCUGUGCAAAACCUUUCCCGAGACAGAACAUCCAUAUUCCAGCUUGCUUGCUGCCUGCUCUGCCACUCCAUCUGCCACCAGCAUCUUCGCAGUGUCACCAAGCUCUCAUCUGGCUUCCUGAGCAGCUCCGUCAGCAUUGCGGCCGUGACAGCACACAGGGACCGGCAGAAGACAAUCACCACAGCAAAGCCUGGACUGCAGCUGUUCUGCACAAAGCUCUAGCAGCUGUCACAGGGCCUGCCUCUGCAGUUUGCCCCUGGGAGUCGAUAAGGAGAGCAGUUAUCAGUCUGAUGGCCUCUCUGCCCUCAGUCACACCGCCCGCCACACACUGGAUCAGAAUCCGUCCUCAAGACAGACCACAAAGCGGCAGACUGAGUUGUGGAGACACUGAGCACAGCUAAAUCAGAUCUCUGCCAGGCAAGAGCCACUUAAGCCAUCCGAAUCUCAGUCCUUCACUGCAAAACAGAAAAGGAGAUGGAACUAGACUCACAUGCCUCACCCCUCACUCAUCAGG